AGCUCCAAGAGGAGAUAUCAAAAUUGUUGCAGUUGAAAAGCUCGUAGUUGAUUUUCUGGGAGGUGCCUGUCUGGUCUGGGGCGUGAGCUUCUUUCUCAGAUGGGACCUCUCAUCUUGUGGAAUUCUAUUUUUGUUCUGUUCAUUCCGAAUAAAAGUACCACUCUGUUACUGAGAGCAAAUUGGAGUGCUCAAAGCAGGCUAUACAGCUUUGAACAAUCAAGCUUGGAAUAACAAUUACGACUCGUUUGUAUUUGUUGGUUAUAUAAUAUGAGUAAUUUUCGAAGGGAACAGUUGUCGGGGGUAUUUGUAUGCGAGAGUCAGAGGUGAAAUUCAAGGAUUUCUCGCCGACAAACGACUGCGAAAGCAUCUACCCAGCAUGUUUUCAUCA
rnacentral:rRNA from 1 species